rnacentral:rRNA from 1 species
UUAAGCAUAUCAAUAAGCGGAGGAAAAGAAACCAACAGGGAUUGCCCCAGUAACGGCGAGUGAAGCGGCAACAGCUCAAAUUUGAAAUCUGGCCCCAGGCCCGAGUUGUAAUUUGCAGAGGAUGCUUUUGGCGCGGUGCCUUCCGAGUUCCCUGGAACGGGACGCCAUAGAGGGUGAGAGCCCCGUACGGUUGGACACCAAGCCUUUGUAAAGCUCCUUCGACGAGUCGAGUAGUUUGGGAAUGCUGCUCUAAAUGGGAGGUACAUUUCUUCUAAAGCUAAAUAUUGGCCAGAGACCGAUAGCGCACAAGUAGAGUGAUCGAAAGAUGAAAAGCACUUUGAAAAGAGGGUUAAACAGCACGUGAAAUUGUUAAAAGGGAAGCGCUUGUGACCAGACUUGCGUCCGGUGAAUCACCCAGCUCUCGCGGCUGGGGCACUUCGCCGGCACAGGCCAGCAUCAGCUUGCCGUCGGGGACAAAAGCUUCAGGAACGUGGCUCCUCUCGGGGAGUGUUAUAGCCUGUUGCAUAAUACCCUUCGGCGGGCUGAGGUACGCGCUCCGCAAGGAUGCUGGCGUAAUGGUCAUCAGCGACCCGUCUUGAAACACGGACCAAGGAGUCAACCUUAUGUGCGAGUGUUUGGGUGUUAAACCCCUACGCGUAAUGAAAGUGAACGCAGGUGAGAGCUUCGGCGCAUCAUCGACCGAUCCUGAUGUUCUCGGAUGGAUUUGAGUAAGAGCAUAUAGGGUUGGACCCGAAAGAAGGUGAACUAUGCGUGUGUAGGGUGAAGCCAGAGGAAACUCUGGUGGAGGCUCGCAGCGGUUCUGACGUGCAAAUCGAUCUACACA